rnacentral:rRNA from 1 species
GAUGAACGCUAGCGGGAGGCCUAACACAUGCCAGCCGAGCGGUAUUUGUUCUUCGGAACAGAGAGAGCGGCGCACGGGUGCGGAACACGUGUGCAACCUGCCUUUAUCUGGGGGAUAGCCUUUCGAAAGGAAGAUUAAUACCCCAUAAUAUAUUGAGUGGCAUCAUUUGAUAUUGAGAACUCCGGUGGAUAGAGAUGGGCACGCGCAAGAUUAGAUAGUUGGUGAGGUAACGGCUCACCAAGUCAAUGAUCUUUAGGGGGCCUGAGAGGGUGAUCCCCCACACUGGUACUGAGACACGGACCAGACUCCUACGGGAGGCAGCAGUGAGGAAUAUUGGACAAUGGGUUAGCGCCUGAUCCAGCCAUCCCGCGUGAAGGACGACGGCCCUAUGGGUUGUAAACUUCUUUUGUAUAGGGAUAAACCUACUCUCGUGAGAGUAGCUGAAGGUACUAUACGAAUAAGCACCGGCUAACUCCGUG